AACGAACGCUGGCGGCAGGCUUAACACAUGCAAGUCGAGCGCCCCGCAAGGGGAGCGGCAGACGGGUGAGUAACGCGUGGGAACGUACCCUUUGCUACGGAAUAGCUCCGGGAAACUGGAAUUAAUACCGUAUGUGCCCUACGGGGGAAAGAUUUAUCGGCAAAGGAUUGGCCCGCGUUGGAUUAGCUAGUUGGUGGGGUAAUGGCCUACCAAGGCGACGAUCCAUAGCUGGUCUGAGAGGAUGAUCAGCCACAUUGGGACUGAGACACGGCCCAAACUCCUACGGGAGGCGGCAGUGGGGAAUAUUGGACAAUGGGCGCAAGCCUGAUCCAGCCAUGCCGCGUGAGUGAUGAAGGCCUUAGGGUUGUAAAGCUCUUUCACCGGAGAAGAUAAUGACGGUAUCCGGAGAAGAAGCCCCGGCUAACUUCGUGCCAGCCGCCGCUGUAACAC
rnacentral:rRNA from 1 species